CUCUCUCUUUGCCUGCUUGUCUUGCAGGACUGAGCAACUGCUGGAUCCUUGGACUUCCAUCCACAGCUGCUGCUGACCAUUGUUGGAGAGUUGGACUACAGACUGUGAACCAGCCUUCCAGGAACUGGACUCCUAACCAGGUGAUUGACAGGCCCAACUAAAAGGGAAGAGACAAUACAGAAUGCCUGGGGUGGCUUAGAUUGUCACAUCCCCAAGAAGAGCCAGAGAUCGAUGAGCGUUAUGGCCCCAGAUUUCCGAGACUACGCCACUAUUUUGAUGUGAUGAGCGGCUAGAAGCCACGAACGCCAACAAAUUGUUUACAACAAAAAAGAAAAAGCUGUUCCCAUACCGGGAGUCGAACCCGGGCCGCCUGGGUGAAAACCAGGAAUCCUAACCGCUAGACCAUAUGGGAGCUGCCGGCAGGUGUCUCUCCUUUGCUCUUAUGUUACCUACGUCAUUAGGGCCGCAUGUGUAAACUCCACCCUCCAAAAUCUUCAGCAUCAUCACUUCCUAGGAACUAGGGAAGGACGGCUGCAACCGGCGGCUGCCCGAGCCAGUGACCCGGAGGAUAGAACCUUUUCCGUGCGUGGGAGUGUGGCUGAAGUCGGCAGCCAGCAGCGGAGGGCACUGUCUUCACCCUAUCCCAGCAGCCGCCGCGACGCGCUUUCCCGAAGCCCAGCCGCGAAGUAAAAAUGCCUUUGUGUCAGGACCUGGAUUUAAUCCAGUGGACUCUGGUGUGAUCAGAGUUCCAGGAGAGGUGGUCCCCCAGGAAGAAUUUACGGUCAAAACGACGGUGUUCUCGGCCUUCUCUUCCAUGUAGAGAUGUCACUUUACUGACAGAAGAACGGUAAGAAGCUCGGCGGAUGCCUUUAAUGCUUCCAAAACUGGAGAAGCAAAGACUAGUGGGUUUUUGUGAAGUCUUAAUGUUAGGAUUCUCUCUAAGCUCCACCCCACAGUUACCUGGCAACAGCCAAGUAGGUCGGGCCCACAAUAAAAGGGGCUGCUCGCCCCUCCUCUCUCUUCUCUCAUCCUCUUGUUCUUUUUCUCUCUUGCCCUCUAGGACCCUUCCCUUCCCCCUUCUCUUCCCCUCUCUCCACGCGGUGAUGGCCGGCCUCUACUUCUUUACUCUCUCUUUACCUUUCUCUGCCUCUGCUACCCUCUUAACUCCCCUCCCAUACCCUGAAUAAACUAUUCUAUGCUAUACCGUCGUGGGUGUGGUCCCUGGGGAAGGGAUGCCUCUGCAUGGACCCGCUGAGGCACCCCCUUCCCCAAACCUUCCACGGAACAUACCUCCCUCACACUCAUUUCUCUUUUUAUGAUCACAACACAUAGCCCUCCUGGUUUACAACUGUGCCCAUCUCAAAAACAAAACGAAGGAGGAGGGUCGUUUUCUUUCUAGUCACAGUAGCGCGCCAUGAGUACAGGCACCAGAGAACUAGAAGGGGAGGAGAAGGGGAAGAGAAAGUGCUCUCUCUCUCUCUCUCUCUCUCUCUCUCUCUCUCUCUCUCCCUCUCCCUCUCUCUCUCUCUCUCUUGCUCUCUCGCUCUCUCUUUCUCUCUCUCAGGUUUGUAAUCUGCUGUUUAUCAUUAAAAAUUGGUAGCUUUGUGAGAUAAUUUUCGGAGAUACACAGAAAUAAGCACAGUGGUAGAAAGGCUGCGUGCUGCUUACUUAACACCCAGCUGAAACCACACAACUUCAUUACAAUUACUGUAUUAAUACAAUCCCAAAGCCAAAAGUCACAGAAACUCGACUUUCUUUUAAAAACUGAUUUAAGAGGGUCUGAAGUGAUGGCUCAGUGAUCAAGAACACUCCCCUGCCGGGGUGGGUGUAGAGGAUGAAAGCCCCCCACCUUUAAUUCCAGCACUAGUGACCCAGGCUUUCCCAGCACCCACAGGAGACGUAGCACCUCUUCUGAAAGGAUAGAAAAUACAGCCUCUCUAAUGACCCCAAGAAGUCAGAGGUUUAAAAUGCUAUCUCACUCCAAAGAAGCUCUAACUCCAGCCUUCUAAGGAGCCCCAAACACUUCACAUUCCAGAACCCACUCUUUGUGCUCUUUGUUAGAAACUAGGUAAAAGGUCGCAUUCUAGAGCCAGCCCUUUGUUAAGAGCUACUCAAAAAGGCCUUGAAUAGGUGAUCCUGGCCCCAUAAGAUAACUGGAAAUGAGCUAAUUAUCUGCUUAUCUUGCUUGCUUACGCCAUUACCCCCAUUCUGGAGUUUACGCAGAUAUAGACAGUCAAGAAGAUAGGAAACUAAUUGGUCCACGGAGUGAGGGCUCCAAUAAUUUAAACUGAUUGGCCUAAAAACUAUGGAGUGGUACAAACUGGCUCACACCUUGCAGGCUCUCGAUGCUAAGGAAUAGUUGGUUUGUGAUUCGCCGGCUUUGUUGUAAACUUAUAAAAGCUGUCCCAAUUCUGUACAGGGGGUCCCACAGUCCUCUACUCCUGUGCGGUGUAAGGCUGUGUACCCCAGAGUUCUGGAAUAAAAGAAAUCCUCUUGCUAAUUGAA